GGGUCAGUAGGUUGGUCGUGCCACCGGUACGUACUGGUCUCACUGAUUCCUCCUUCCUGAUGAACCGUAAUGCCAUUAAUUUGGUGUUGCGGGGAAACAGGACUGUUACUUUGAAAAAAUUAGAGUGUUUAAAGCAAGCUGACGCUUGAAUACAUUAGCAUGGAAUAAUGAAAUAGGACGAUCGAUCCUAUUUUGUUGGUUUCUAGGAUUGACGUA
rnacentral:rRNA from 1 species